rnacentral:rRNA from 1 species
CGUCACAUCCUGGAGCUGGAGAAGGUUCCAAGGGUUGGGCUGUUCGCCCAUUAAAGUGGCACGCGAGCUGGGUUCAGAACGUCGUGAGACAGUUCGGUCCCUAUCCUCUAUGAUCGUAGGAAAUUUGAAGGAAUCUGCUCUUAGUACGAGAGGACCGGAGUGGACGAACCUCUAGUGUACCUGUUGUUGUAUCAACAGCAUCGCAGGGUAGCUAUGUUCGGCAGGGAUAAGCGCUGAAAGCAUAUAAGUGCGAAGCCCAUCCUAAGAUAAGAUUUCCCUACUCUUUUGAGUCUAAAGACUACCAGAAGAAUACUGGAUUGAUAGGCUACAGAUGUAAGUACAGUAAUGUAUUUAGUCGAGUGGUACUAAUUAGUCGUGAGGCUUGAUCAAUUUU